rnacentral:rRNA from 1 species
UACGUAGGGGGCAAGCGUUGUCCGGAUUUAUUGGGCGUAAAGAGCUCGUAGGCGGCUUGUCACGUCGGGUGUGAAAGCCCGGGGCUUAACCCCGGGUCUGCAUUCGAUACGGGCAGGCUAGAGUGUGGUAGGGGAGAUCGAAUUCCUGGUGUAGCGGUGAAAUGCGCAGAUAUCAGGAGGAACACCGGUGGCGAAGGCGGAUCUCUGGGCCAUUACUGACGUGAGGAGCGAAAGCGUGGGGAGCGAACAGG